GAGUUUGAUCUUGGCUCAGAACGAACGCUGGCGGCGUGGAUAAGACAUGCAAGUCGGACGGGAUUAUUUCUGUAGCAAUACGGGAAUAAUUCAGUGGCGAACGGGUGCGUAACACGUGGGCAAUUUGCCGAAAAGUGGGGGAUAGCUCGCCGAAAGGCGAAUUAAUACCGCAUGUGGUCAGGAAAGACAUCUUUUCGAAUCCAAAGGUGGCGCAAGCUACCGCUUUUUGAGGAGCCCGCGGCCUAUCAGCUAGUUGGUGAGGUAACGGCUCACCAAGGCGAUGACGGGUAGCUGGUCUGAGAGGACGACCAGCCACACUGGAACUGAGACACGGUCCAGACACCUACGGGUGGCAGCAGUCGAGAAUUUUC
rnacentral:rRNA from 1 species